GAUGAACGCUGGCGGCGUGCCUAAUACAUGCAAGUCGAGCGAACAGACGAGGAGCUUGCUCCUUUGACGUUAGCGGCUGACGGGUGAGUAACACGUGGGUAACCUACCUAUAAGACUGGGAUAACUUCGGGAAACCGGAGCUAAUACCGGAUAAUAUUUCGAACCGCAUGGUUCGAUAGUGAAAGAUGGCUCUGCUAUCACUUAUAGAUGGACCUGCGCCGUAUUAGCUAGUUGGUAAGGUAACGGCUUACCAAGGCAACGAUACGUAGCCGACCUGAGAGGGUGAUCGGCCACACUGGAACUGAGACACGGUCCAGACUCCUACGGGAGGCAGCAGUAGGGAAUCUUCCGCAAUGGGCGAAAGCCUGACGGAGCAACGCCGCGUGAGUGAUGAAGGUCUUCGGAUCGUAAAACUCUGUUAUUAGGGAAGAACAAACGUGUAAGUAACUGUGCACGUCUUGACGGUACCUAAUCAGAAAGCCACGGCUAACUACGUG
rnacentral:rRNA from 1 species